GAUGAACGCUAGCGAUAGGCUUAACACAUGCAAGUCGAGGGGCAGCAUGGUCUUAGCUUGCUCAGACUGAUGGCGACCGGCGCACGGGUGCGUAACGCGUAUGCAACUUGCCUCACAGAGGGGGAUAACCCGUCUAAAGACUGACUAAUACCGCGUACACUUGGUAUAGGGCAUCCUGACCCAAGGAAAUGAAAUUUGUUGUGAGAUAGUCAUGCGUCCCAUUCGCUAGUUGGUGAGGUAACGGCUCACCAAGGCGACGAAGGGUAGGGGAACUGAGAAGUUGAACCCCCAAACUGGUACAGGGAAACGGACCAGACGCAUACAGGAGGGAACAAUGAGGAAUAUUGAGAAAGGGGCGGGAAACAGAACCAACCAAGUCGAGGGAAGGAUGACCGUCUUAGGGAGUGUAAACUUCUUUUAAACGGGAAAAAGAAGAGUCACGGGUGGCUACAUGCAUGUACCGUAUGAAAAAGCAGCGGCUAACUCCGUG
rnacentral:rRNA from 1 species